GCCUUCGUGCUGUAGUGGUCAGCAUGCUAGACCGUGGUCCCGAGAGGUCCGUGGUUCGAUUCCCGGCGAAGGUG
rnacentral:tRNA from 1 species